GUGCUCGCUUCAGCAGCACACAUACAAAAACUGGAAUGAUACAGAGAAGAUAAGCAUGGCCCCAGCACACAGGUGACAUGCAAAUCAUCUAUCUGAUAAGGGGCUAAUUUCU
ensembl:snRNA U6 U6 spliceosomal RNA